GACGAACCGUGCGAACGUUAUUCGGAAUCACUGGGCUUAAAGCGCGUGUAGGCGGGGAGGCACGUCGGUCGCUGAAAGCCCCCGGCUCAACCGGGGAAGCGGCGCCGAUACGACCGCCCUGGAGGGACGUAGGGGGACCUGGAACUUCCGGUGGAGCGGUGAAAUGCGUUGAGAUCGGAAGGAACGCCCGUGGCGAAAGCGAGGUCCUGGACGUUUUUCUGACGCUGAGACGCGAAAGCCAGGGGAGCGAACGGG
rnacentral:rRNA from 1 species